AUUCAAUUAUUAUAAAAAGUAUAUUAAGCUUCCAACUUUAAGGUUUAAAAAAAUUAAAUUGAAUA
rnacentral:tRNA from 1 species